rnacentral:misc_RNA from 1 species
GCACGGCCACGCGUGCAUUCCUUUUCAGCUGUGCGACAAGGCUUGUAUCGUCUUGAUCGUAUAAGUGGGUUUCCUGUGUUGCAUACCUGAUCAAUGGCAUCGUCUUGAUCAAAAGUGUCUAUUUUUCGUCUGGCAAUGCACCUGCAUUGUCGGAUGAACCACGUAGCAUCCUCUUUGAUCCAUACAGUUGACGUGCUAUCGUUGAUUGUUUGGCCCAUUGAGCGGUGACUCGGUCUCUCGGAUAUGGAAGCCAAAGUGGGCAUGGGAUCGCAAGAUCUCUUUAUUGUCCUCAUUGAGCGUUCUCACUUCUCUUACAUGACCGCCUUUCACGUAUGGCUACGUCCCAGCGUGUUUGGCUACGUCGAAGAGGAAUGUUGGGCGUUCUUGCUUUUCUUACACGACUGCCUUUCACGUAUGGCACGUCCCAGC